rnacentral:rRNA from 1 species
GCCAGACUCCUACGGGAGGCAGCAGUGGGGAAUAUUGCACAAUGGGGGAAACCCUGAUGCAGCGACGCCGCGUGAGUGAAGAAGUAUUUCGGUAUGUAAAGCUCUAUCAGCAGGGAAGAAAAUGACGGUACCUGAUUAAGAAGCCCCGGCUAACUACGUGCCAGCAGCCGCGGUAAUACGUAGGGGGCAAGCGUUAUCCGGAUUUACUGGGUGUAAAGGGAGCGUAGACGGUGAUGCAAGUCAGAAGUGAAAGCCCGGGGCUCAACUCCGGGACUGCUUUUGAAACUGUGUGACUGGAGUGCAGGAGAGGUAAGCGGAAUUCCUGGUGUAGCGGUGAAAUGCGUAGAUAUCAGGAGGAACACCAGUGGCGAAGGCGGCUUACUGGACUGUAACUGACGUUGAGGCUCGAAAGCGUGGGGAGCAAACAGGAUUAGAUACCCCAGUA